UCCGUUUCGGGCUCUGGAGAGGGGAAAUCAUCACCAUAGUCAUCAUCAACCUUCCUCCAUCGACAAUUCCAUGAUGCUCUUCAUCGUUCAUGAGUAAUCUCAUCGUAGGCUUGCUGGACGGUGAUGAGUUGGAUGAGAUCUAUCAUGUAAUCCAGUUAGUUUUGACGGGGAUUGAUCCCAGGUAUCCACUAUGUUCUAGAUUGAUGUUGCUACUACUUGGCUAUGCUUAAUGCUUGUCACUAGGUCCCGAGUGCCAUGAUUUGAGAUCUGAACCUAUUAUGUUGUUGCCAAUAUAUGUGUGUUUUAGAUCCUAUCUUGCAAGUUGUAGUCACCUACUAUGUGUUAUGACCCGGCAACCCCGGAGUGAAAAUAGCCGGAACCACUCCCGGAGAUGACCAUAGUAUGAGGAGUUCAUGUAUUCACCGCGUGCUAAUGCGUUGGUCCGAUUCUUUAUUAAAAGGAG
rnacentral:lncRNA from 1 species